rnacentral:lncRNA from 1 species
CCUGCUGUUGGUCAUUAGGCCCUGCUGACCGCUGCUGUUGUGUCUCGUUCUUGCUCCAUCCCAGCUCUGCUUCAAGCCUGCUCUCUCUGGGCCGCAGCCCCCACUGGAGCUCCCACCUCUCCUGGCAGGAAGGCCUGUGCACUCGGAUCUGGCUUGCUGAUUCUGAACUGUUCAACAGACACCAACUCGGUAACAAGAAACCGUCUGAACAAUGUGCAAAAUUGAGGUUCUCGGAAACAUGCCUGGGACCUGUCGCUCCACAACCCGUCUGCUCGGCUGUUCCUUCUGCUAGGUGUGUCCCCAUCCUGUGCCCCCCGGCAGACUCCUGCCCCUUCUUCAGGGACCAGCUCCGGCGCAGUCUCCCCAGCUUUACCCGGCAGCCCUCCUCCCCGGAGCAGGAGUGGUUCUCCCUGUGUUCCAUCCUCCCCUGGAGCA